GCCAUAUAUGAGUUUCGAGCUUAAUUUGGCAAUGUAGAGAUCUCGUUUAGCAAAUUUGACAAUUGAAUCAUGAGUUGAUUAACUAGGGCAACUUUUUCUCAAAAAGUGAUGGGGUAUUGUCAGCUGGCCAAAGGCGGUUGCUUUUGGCGGCGACAAAACUCCAUCUUAACAUUUGAUGAUUUUUCACAAGAUUGUACGAAUUUGAUGCUGAUCACGCUGGUGCGGCACGUAACUGAAAUGGAGGUUUGGAUCAAUCGAAAUUUGGAGAUUUUCAACUGACUGAUUGUAAAUUGAAACCACCAGUAUCGGCGCAUCCAACUCUGGAACGGUCUGACUUUUGAUCGAAAGGUCAUCUCAUCAUGGGCAAUCUCUCUGCCCGACGCGUGUUACAAGUUUAAAGUCUGUACAGGAUUUAAUAAUUGGUGGAGGUCCAGACCUUGAUUCAAAGAAAAAGGUAAGAGUUUUUUGAAUCAUUUG
rnacentral:lncRNA from 1 species